rnacentral:tRNA from 1 species
GCCUAAAUAGCUCAGUCGGUAGAGCGCACAGCUCUGAAUGAUACCAAAAGGUUGUGGGUUCGAUUCCCACCUCUGCCA